rnacentral:rRNA from 1 species
CCUACGGGAGGCAGCAGUGAGGAAUAUUGGUCAAUGGGCGCGAGCCUGAACCAGCCAAGCCGCGUGAAGGAUGAAUGCCCUACGGGUUGUAAACUUCUUUUGUAAGGGAGUAAAGUGAGGCACGUGUGCCUUUUUGUAUGUACUUUAUGACUAAGCAUCGGCUAACUCCGUGCCAGCAGCCGCGGUAAUACGGAGGAUCCGAGCGUUAUCCGGAUUUAUUGGGUUUAAAGGGAGCGUAGAUGGGUUGGUAAGUCAGUUGUGAAAGUUUGCGGCUCAACCGUAAAAUUGCAAUUGAUACUGGAAGUCUUGAGUACAGGUGAGGUAGGCGGAAUUCGUGGUGUAGCGGUGAAAUGCUUAGAUAUCACGAAGAACUCCGAUUGCGAAGGCAGCUUACUAAACUGCCACUGACAUUGAUGCUCGAAAGUGUGGGUAUCAAACAGGAUUAGAUACCCCAGUAGUC